rnacentral:rRNA from 1 species
CCUACGGGUGGCUGCAGUGAGGAAUAUUGGUCAAUGGCCGAGAGGCUGAACCAGCCAAGUCGCGUGCGGGAAGACUGUCCUAUGGAUUGUAAACUUCUUUUAUCAGGGAGCAAAGCGACCCACGUGUGGGUGUUUGCGUGUACCUUAAGAAAAAGCAUCGGCUAACUCCGUGCCAGCAGCCGCGGUAAUACGGAAGGUUCGGGCGUUAUCCGGAUUUAUUGGGUUUAAAGGGUGUGUAGGCCGAGUGUCAAGUGUGCGGUAAAAUGUCGGGGCUCAACCCCGUCCCGGCAGCGCGAACUGGUGUGCUUGAGUCCGCGGAAAGCAGGCGGAAUGCGUCGUGUAGCGGUGAAAUGCUUAGAUAUGACGAAGAACCCCGAUUGCGAAGGCAGCUUGCUGCAGCCGAACUGACGCUGAUGCUCGAAAGCGCGGGUAUCGAACAGGAUUAGAUACCCCUGUAGUC